UACGAAGGGGGCUAGCGUUGCUCGGAAUCACUGGGCGUAAAGCGCACGUAGGCGGAUCGUUAAGUCGGAGGUGAAAUCCUGGAGCUCAACUCCAGAACUGCCUUCGAUACUGGCGAUCUUGGAGUCCGGGAGAGGUGAGUGGAACUCCGAGUGUAGAGGUGAAAUUCGUAGAUAUUCGGAAGAACACCAGUGGCGAAGGCGGCUCACUGGCCCGGUACUGACGCUGAGGUGGCGGAAAAGCGUGGGGGAGCAAACAGG
rnacentral:rRNA from 1 species